rnacentral:lncRNA from 1 species
UUUUGCCAAACAUACUGGCUAUAGAAUAAAUUUGCAAAAUGAUUUCUGGAACAUGAUAAGAGAUCCACAGAGAAAAAUGUAGCAGAAAGAUGGGUAUUCAAGUUACAUUUUAGAGUAGAAAAGGCCUCUGGAAAACAGAUUUCAAAGAACAAGUUAAUACAAGGGAAGAAAGCCUCUGAUUUUUAAUAAAGCCACAACAUUGACAUCUUGUCUGUUCCCAGAGUGUAGGGAUUCAGCAACGGAAACCUUUGCCUUGCAUUUUGGAGCUGGCCUGGGAAAGCAGCGAAGAGCUCUCCACAGUCUGUGCCUGGAGGCCCAGGGGGGCUGUCAGAUUUAGAGCUCUCGGACUCCACUGCAGGAUAAACAGCUUGGGAUUCUUCUUUAAUGACAACAGCGUAUCAGCUCUUUUUGAGGUUACAGCAUACAUAAACAAGAUCUGCCUCAUAUUUUCC